GAUGAACGCUGGCGGCGUGCCUAAUACAUGCAAGUCGAGCGAACGGACGAGAAGCUUGCUUCUCUGAUGUUAGCGGCGGACGGGUGAGUAACACGUGGAUAACCUACCUAUAAGACUGGGAUAACUUCGGGAAACCGGAGCUAAUACCGGAUAAUAUUUUGAACCGCAUGGUUCAAAAGUGAAAGACGGUCUUGCUGUCACUUAUAGAUGGAUCCGCGCUGCAUUAGCUAGUUGGUAAGGUAACGGCUUACCAAGGCAACGAUGCAUAGCCGACCUGAGAGGGUGAUCGGCCACACUGGAACUGAGACACGGUCCAGACUCCUACGGGAGGCAGCAGUAGGGAAUCUUCCGCAAUGGGCGAAAGCCUGACGGAGCAACGCCGCGUGAGUGAUGAAGGUCUUCGGAUCGUAAAACUCUGUUAUUAGGGAAGAACAUAUGUGUAAGUAACUGUGCACAUCUUGACGGUACCUAAUCAGAAAGCCGCGGCUAACUACGCGCCAGCAGCCGCGGUAAUACGUAGGUGGCAAGCGUUAUCCGGAAUUAUUGGGCGUAAAGCGCGCGUAGGCGGUUUUUUAAGUCUGAUGUGAAAGCCCACGGCUCAACCGUGGAGGGUCAUUGGAAACUGGAAAACUUGAGUGCAGAAGAGGAAAGUGGAAUUCCAUGUGUAGCGGUGAAAUGCGCAGAGAUAUGGAGGAACACCAGUGGCGAAGGCGACUUUCUGGUCUGUAACUGACGCUGAUGUGCGAAAGCGUGGGGAUCAAACAGGAUUAGAUACCCUGGUAGUCCACGCCGUAAACGAUGAGUGCUAAGUGUUAGGGGGUUUCCGCCCCUUAGUGCUGCAGCUAACGCAUUAAGCACUCCGCCUGGGGAGUACGACCGCAAGGUUGAAACUCAAAGGAAUUGACGGGGACCCGCACAAGCGGUGGAGCAUGUGGUUUAAUUCGAAGCAACGCGAAGAACCUUACCAAAUCUUGACAUCCUUUGACAACUCUAGAGAUAGAGCCUUCCCCUUCGGGGGACAAAGUGACAGGUGGUGCAUGGUUGUCGUCAGCUCGUGUCGUGAGAUGUUGGGUUAAGUCCCGCAACGAGCGCAACCCUUAAGCUUAGUUGCCAUCAUUAAGUUGGGCACUCUAAGUUGACUGCCGGUGACAAACCGGAGGAAGGUGGGGAUGACGUCAAAUCAUCGUGCCCCUUAUGAUUUGGGCUACACACGUGCUACAAUGGACAAUACAAAGGGCAGCGAAACCGCGAGGUCAAGCAAAUCCCAUAAAGUUGUUCUCAGUUCGGAUUGUAGUCUGCAACUCGACUACAUGAAGCUGGAAUCGCUAGUAAUCGUAGAUCAGCAUGCUACGGUGAAUACGUUCCCGGGUCU
rnacentral:rRNA from 1 species